rnacentral:misc_RNA from 1 species
AGUUUCCUUCCGGCUUAUUGAUAUUCCUUAAGGUUUUAGCGAUAAGUCUAAACUUGAUCGGGUGAUCAACCCUUGUCGAUAGGGUAAAAGUGAGAGGCCCCAAGAGUCCGGGGUAAUGGAUGCCCCGGUUUAGUAGUGUCAUUGGUCCGAGGGUCUUGAGCGUUUCGACCACCUCUAUGGGAUGAAGUCCCUGCGCCGGGGCUUACGUUCUGCGCCGACCCCGAGUUUGAGACACGAGAGGCCAAUUUGAGUAAUCCACUCCACGGCAAUUCCGAGGGGGG